AGAGUUUGAUCCUGGCUCAGGAUUAACGCUGGCGGCAUGCCUAAUACAUGCAAGUCGAACGAGAGUAGCAAUACUCUAGUGGCGAACGGGUGAGUAACACGUAGGAAACCUACCUCAAAGACGAGGAUAACUACUGGAAACGGUAGCUAAAACUGGAUAGGAUAUACAAAGGCAUCUUAGUAUAUUUAAAAGUCCUUCUGGGAAUGCUAUGAGAUGGUCCUGCGGCGCAUUAGCUAGUUGGUGAGGUAAAGGCCCACCAAGGCGACGAUGCGUAGCUGUGCUGAGAGGCAAAACAGCCACACUGGGACUGAGACACGGCCCAGACUCCUACGGGAGGCAGCA
rnacentral:rRNA from 1 species